UUAUUUUUGAAAGAGAAAGAGCACAAGCAGGGGAGAGGCAGAGAGAGAGAGAGAGAGGGAGACCCAGAAUCCAAAGCAGGCUCCAGGCUCUUAGCUGUUAACACAGAGCCCAAUGUAGGGAUCCACCCCCAAGAACUGCAAGAUCAUGACCUGAGCUGAAGUCGGAUGCUUAACCGACUGAGCAACCCAGGUGCUCCAAAGAGCUUCCCUUUGUACUUCUGGUAUAUUUGCUUUGUUGCAUCUGUAGCAUAAAUAAUUAAAAAGGAUUAUAAUUGGGUCAAAAAAUAUACACCUAAAAUUUUAGAAAAUAUUUGGUUCAAUAAGAGAAAAAUGAGGGAGGACUAGUCCAACCAAACAUUAGUGCUUUCUUUUCUUUUUUCUCUUCUUUUGUUUUUUCUUUUCUUUUCUUUUCUUUUCUUUUCUUUUCUUUUCUUUUCUUUUCUUUUCUUUUCUUUUCUUUUCUUUUCUUUUCUUUUCUUUUCUUUUCUUUUUUUUUUCUUUUCUUGUCCUGUGUGUGUGUAUGUAUAUCAUCUUAAAGAUUUGCCUAUCGUACCUGCUACCAAAGAGUGGCAAGUUAGAAAGGUACUAUGUAGAACAAAUUCAAGAACAAAUUCAACAACUUCAAGAACAAUUUUUAAAAAAUUUUUUUUUAACGUUUUAUUUAUUUUUGAGACAGGGAGAGACAGAGCAUGAACAGGGGAGGGUCAGAGAGAGGGAGACACAGAAUCUGGAACAGGCUCCAGGCUCUGAGCUGUCAGCACAGAGCCCGACGCGGGGCUCGAACUCACAGACCACGAGAUCAUGACCUGAGUCACAGUCGGCUGCUUAACCGACUGAGCCACCCAGCUGCCCCAAGAACAAUUUUUUUAUUAAAUUUUUUUUUAAAUGUUAAGUAACUUUUUAUUCUUAAGUAAAUAAUUUUAGAUAGGAAAUGGGUGUUUAAUUUUGUUUAAUGCCUCUUUAUCAUUUGAGACUGGCUUAGUCAGUUUGGGCUGCCAUAUCAGAAUACUAUAGACUGAGUGGCUUAAACAAGAAAUAUUUAUUUCUCACAGUUCUGGAGGCUGGAAGUUCAAGAUCAGAGUGUCAGUGUUGGGUUCUUGAUGAAAGCUUUCUUCCUGGUGUACAGAGAGAGAGAGAGAGAGCUCUGGUCCCUUCAUCUCCUUAUAAGGGAACUAAUCCUGUCAUGGGAGGCCACCCUAAUCUAACCUAAUCUAACCCUAAAUACCUAAUCUAACCCUAAAUACCUCCCAACGGCCCCACCUCCAAAUAUGAUGACUUUGGAGAUGAGAGUUUCAACAUAUAAAAUUUUGGGCAAAUACAACAUUCAGUUUAUAGCAGAGAUUAUCAUGUUGCUUUUCUUUGGCUUAUUAUAGUAAAUUAAAUUAAUGGAUUUUUAAAUAUUUAAAUAUUAUUAUAGUCCUAUAAGUAAUCUUCACUUGGUUAUUAUUUUUUAAAAGCUGGAUCUUACUUGUUAAUAUUUUAUUUAUAAUUUUACAUUGAUAUUCAUAAGUUAUAAUGAGCAGUUGUUCUGUCUUAGGUUUUGGUAAUAGUGUUAUAUUGACUAUGUUUUUAAGUUUAUUCAUUUUUGAGAGAGAAAGAGACAGAAUGUGAGUGGGGGAGGGGCAGAGAAACAGGGAAACACAGAAUCUGAAGCAGGCUCCAGGCUCUGAGCUGUCACCACAGAGCCCGACACAGGGCUCAAACUCAUGAGCUGUGAAAUCAUUACCUGAGACGAAGUCGGACGCUUAACUGACUGAGUCACCCAGGUGCUCCUGUUAUAUAGACCUUUUUAAAAAAAUGUUUACUUAUUUUGAGAGAGAGAGAGCAUGGGGGAGGAGCAGAGAGAGAGGGAGAGAGGGAAUUUUAAGCAGUCUCCAUGCCGUCAGCGCAGAAUCUGAUGUUGGGCUUGAUCUCUUGAACCACAAGAUCAUGACCUGGGCCAAAACCAGGAGUUGGAUGCUUCAUUGACUAAGCCACUCAGGUGCCCCUAUAUUGACUUUUUAAAAUGAAGAAACAAAUCUGAAAAACCAAAUGCCCACUUUUUCAUGCUCCGGUGUAAUUUGAUUUUGAAAUUCUUUGCUCUUGAAAUGUUAUGUAAUUCACCUACAUAGUACCUUUCUAACUUGCCACUCUUUGGUAGCAGGCAGAUACUUACUUCCAAAUAAGGUACAUAUUUCCAAAUAAGGUCAUAAUAGAUGUAAUUAAGUUAAGAUGAGGUCAUACUGGAGUAGGUUGAGCCAUUAAUCCAUUAUAACUAGUGUCCUUAUAAGAAGACAGAAGACAAUGUGAGGAUAGACACGCAGGGAGAAGACAGCCAUGUAGUGACAGAGGCAGAGAUUAGGGUGAUGUAGCUGCAAGCCAAGAGUUGAUGGCCACCACCAGAAGCCAGAAAGAGGCAAGGAAGGAUCCUCCCUUAUAGGUUUCAGAGGGAGCAUGGCCCUACCAACACCUUGUUUUCCGACUCUAGAACUGUGAGAGAAUAAAUUUGUUGUUUUAAGCCAUCUAGUUUGUGGUAAUUUAUUACGGAAACCCUAGGAAACUAAUACAUUAUGUAUUUCAUUUGUGCUUUCAAAUUUAUUUUUGUCUUUUUCAUUUUUUAUUUUGUAAUUGAUGCCUUCUUUUUUUCACCUUGUUAAUGUGGUAUCCCAUAAUAUUUAUUUUUUACCUACCUCCCCAAAUUAGUUCUUGAGUUGUUCAAUUCUGGUUUUUUUUUUUUUUUAAUUUUUAAUAUUUAUUUAUUUUUAAGAGAGAUAGUGUUUACCAGUAAGAAAAGAAAGCAUAUGUUCAGGAAUGCUGGGUGGCUCAAUCAAUUAAGCAUCUGACUCUUGAUUUCUGCUUAGGUUAUGAUCUCAUCAUUCUUGAGUUCGAGCCUGACAUCAGGCUCUGUGCUGACAGCACAGAGCCUGCUUGGGAUUCUUUCUCUCCCUCUCUCUCCGUCCCUCCCCCUCACGUGAGCAUCCAUGUGCUCUCUCUCGCGCUCUCUCUCUCUUAAAAUAAAUAAACUUAAAAAAAAAGAAAGCAUGUCCACAAAAAUACUUGUACAUGAAUAUUUAUAGCAGCUUUAUUUGUAAUAGCUGAAAACUAGAAACAGUCUAACUGUCCAUCACUAAGUAAGUAGAUAAAUAAAUUGGUAUAUCCUUAAAACGGGUGCCUGGGUGGCUCUGUGUUAAGCAUCCAGCUCUUGAUUUUGGCUCAAGUCAUGAUCUCAUGGUCAUGAUCUCACAGUUGUGAGACUGAGCCCCACGUUGGGCUCUGCACUGAGCAUGGAUCCUGCUUUGGAUUUUCUCUCUCCCUCUCUCUCUCUGCCCCUCCCUUGCUUGCACUCUUUCUCAAAAUAAAUAAACAUUAAAAAAAUACUAUUCAGUAAUGAAAAGGAAUGAACUAUUCAUACAUACUACUACAUGGAUGAAUCAAGUAUGGUAAGUAGAAGAGCCUAAAUCAAAAACAGUAUAUAUUAUAUUAAUCCACUUAUAUAAAAUUAUUGGAAAUUUAAAUUAUUGUAUAGUGACAGGAACUGCUUUGGGAAGGGAGGGGCAGGAGGCAGAGAUUAUAAAGGGGCAGGAGGAAGUUUUAGUAGUGAUGUGUUUAUUGACUGUGAUGAUGGCUUCAUGUGUGUAUGCAUAUGUCAAAAGUGAUCAAAUUGUACAGCUUAAAUAUGUGCAGUUUAUUGUAUGUCAGUUAUACCUCAAUAAAGCUAUAAAAAAAAAAACCCACCCAACUUAGUGUGUGAGGCUCUCACUACUAUUAUUCCCUAAUCUCCAUCAGUGAGGAUCUCUGACUGCUUUUCUCUUGUCAUAGGCAAGUGAUUCUUGUUGUUCUGGUUGUUUACAAUAUUUGUCAGUCCCUUGGCAUCCAAUGGUACUUGCAGCCUCUUCCUUUAGAAGUUUCCUCAUUCUAGGUUAUAAAACAAGCUCAAGACAGCUCUCAAGUGGCUCACAUUUUUUACAUGGGAAACACUCACCUGGCCAGCUAUCAGUGAGUGCAGCUACUUUGUAAUCAUAGUCUUCUACUCUGCUGUCAUGGAUCACUUCAAAUGCUAGUCUUCAGGUUCCUCAGGUAGAGGUCAGAUAACCGGUCCACAGAGUCCCUAAUCUCCAAGAGAUAGAUAUGGAGCUUUCAGAGUGGUGUCCUUGAAGUCCACCCUUACUAGGCUAGAGGUAAGGGUAAAGGGGUAAAGCACCAAUCCAUCCCUCUGAUUUGAGAAUGGUAUUGACAACUCUCUCUAAAGAAAUCCCUUCUUCCCAAUUUCCAUCUCCUCAUUACAUGUCUCCAAAUGCUCUCCACCUCCACUCUUUUUAAAAAUAAUUGGAGGUGGGUGAUGAGCUAAGUAUUGUAAAAUUGCUUCCCACCCCGCUUCUCUCUCUGUUGCAGAUCUUGUCCAUGUGGUCUAACACUUCAUUUUGGGUAGUGGGAGUAUUAACAAUAGUGCCUUGGAGCCCUCAGUUGAGAUUGAGACAGAGUUUAUGUGGGUAUCAUGUUAUAUGCUGUUAGUAGGACUUUCUGGAAGUCUGAUUUAAUCUAAAAACAUGCACUUUGCUUGAGAUUAGUAAAAUUGUGGGAGCUUCACUUUUCAUUUUGUCCUUAUUUCAUGGUACUGGACAUACAUUCUUAUCUAUGGUAUGGGAUUGUAGCUGUUCCCUAGUUUUAUUAUUGGUGGAAUUUCCUAUAAUAAUUGUUUCUUUUUUUUUAUUCAUGUUUGUAAACUUCAGGGAAGUAAGUAAACAUGCCUUUACUGCUUCUCCUUUCCCUGCCUUCCUAUUAAAUACUGAAGUCUCCUUGUUAAAAUAGUCAUCUGAUUAUUCCAGUCCUCACAGACUUUAGUCUUUCCUAAACUUCUGUAGAAUUUAUUUCUUAGUAAUAACUGGUGUUUAUAUUUAUUGUUUUAUUCUUUUGUAUUUAAUUUGUUUCAAAUACUUCAGGGGAAUUUGUUUUCUCUAUUUUUUAUUUUUAAUUUGUUAUGUAAACAAUGAUUACUUUUGAGAGAGAGAGCGAGAGAGAGAGAGAGCGAGCGAGCAUGCAUGUGUGAGCAGGGAAGGCACAGAGAGAGAGAGAGAGAAAGAGAGAGAGAGAGAGAAUCCCAAACAGGCUUCAUGCUGUCAGCACUGAACCCAGUGUCGGGCUCAAUCCCAUGAACCUAUGAGAUCACAGCCUGAGCUGAAAUCAAGAGUCAGAUGCUUAACUGACUGAGCCACCCAGGCACCCCUGUUUUCUCUGCUUUUAAAAUGGAAGAAUUAAAAUGGAUUACCUUUGAUAUCUGGAGCUCAGAUAUUUUAGGAAUCUCAAAACUCUUUUGGGAGAAGUAGGGUAAGUGAUAUUAUUUGGAAUUUCAUAAGUAAUGAAUAAGUCAGAUUUCAAGAGGUUGGCAGUAUGACAUGGCAAUGUCAUGAUGGCAAAGUAAUGAUGGUAAAGGAUUAGAACACAGGAUAUAUCAACUCCAUUCUUUGUCUGACUUCUUAGUUUGCUUUCCACCAAGACAUGUCAGCCUCCCUUUCUUUCCCAUAGUUGGUUUAUUAUUACUAAUCGGAGUAGUAGGCAAUUCAGGAAUAGGGUUAUAUUUGUUUAAAGUCUUAUUUAUUAAAGUUUUUUUUGUUUUAUAUUCUUUUUAUAUUGCUUUUAUUGUUUUAUAUUCUCUAUAUCAUGCAGUGGGUGAGUUAUCAAAGUAAUAAAUUGAUCAGAAAUGAGCACAAUACCAGUAAAUUUACUUGAGCCCCAAGCUAAUUGCCUAAUUUUGUAUGUGCCCCACUGCUCUUUGGUUUUAACUGCAUAGGCUGCAAAAAUGUAAUUUGAAUAAUGGAAAAAGGAGUUUUGGGGUAAGCUGCCUGUGUUAAGGAGCAUUAUCUGUCUCCACAAAAGUUCCUAUGACAAAGACAUGACUGGAAACUAAGUGAAACAUUUAAGGCAUAUAAAAAUGUUGUUAAAACAGGAAGGAAAGCAAUGGGAAGGAAUGUCGUUCGCUCUGCCUGCGCUAGUGCUAGUCGGCCGAUAACACUCUGAAUCACAGGGAAACCACCAGCGUGAUAAGAUUUAGUAUGGCAAACAUAAUUAAGAAGUCAUUGAUUUUGAUCAUGAGUCUCUCAAAGACUCUAAAAGAGUUACUCUAAAAGAGUAACCAAAUGCCUAAAAGAAGGAAAAGCAAUAAUUGUGACCCUCUUUGCCCCCAAAUUAACAAUAUGUAACACAAAAAUCAUUCCAGAUGGUUCACGACUGAGAAGAUUUUCAUGAUUUUUCUAUCAUAAUUCAUUUUAGACUUAGUGAGAUUCCUCUCGGAUAUAUUUUUGUGGCAUGACUACAUUUUUUCUUUUUCUUUGUUUUUCUGGUCAAACAAACAUGUUAAUUUGUGAGGCAAAUUUAGUAUUUCAAAGUUAAGUAGCAAGUCACAUUUUUGGGUACUGAGUGGAACAGCAUUCUUUUUUUUUUUUUUUUUUUUUUUUAAUAUUUCUAUCCACAGUCCUCAACUCUUGAGUUUAUGCCUGUGUAAUUCUUUCGGCUGUUUAUUUGGCAAUGUCUCUGGUCUUCCUUGAGAAGUUUAGCUUGUUGAAUAUGGUCACAGGUAAAUACAUUUUUAAAUUGUAUUCCUAUAUGCCAUUUUCAGCUUAUAAUAUUAAGGUCUGGUUACAUGUAAGGCAGAUAUAAUGAAAAUUAAAUAAUAAAAAAAGGGCUUUGAACAUGUUUAUACAUCAAAUAAAGCUAGUAACUUUCCUGUAUGCCAGUAAGUAGACAGAAAUAAAAACAUUAGGUUUUUGGGUGCUCAGUCUGUUAAGCAUCCGACUUAGGCUCAAGUCAUGAUUUCAAGGUUCAUGAGUUCAAGCCCUGCUGUCAGGCUGUCAGCACAAAACCCACUUCGGAUCCUCUGUCCCCCCUCUCUCUCUACCCCUCCCCUGCUCAUUCUCUCUCUCUCUCUCUCUCAAAAUAAAUAAACUUUAAAAAUUACAUUAAGGGGUGGAAAAUCCCAUUUAAAUUAGUAACAGAUAUAAAAUAAAUAGAAAUGAAGUUAACAAAAUAUAUGGGGCUUUAUAAAACUUGAGCAAAAAGGAAGAUAUAACUAAGGAAUCAUACCUGUUGAUUGAAGACUCAACAUUGUGAAAGUAUAAAUUCUUCUUAAAUUAAUUUAUAAAUUUAAAUGUAAUAUCAUUGUCCUAAAGUCCAGGAAACCUAAGAACAAAUGUGUGAGAGUAGCCAACAAAACUUUGAAAAAUAACAGCAUUGAGUAGUGUCCCCUAUCAGAUUUUAAAAUGUAUUAUGGAGUACUGAGAUCAAAAGAAUGUGGUAUUGAGCCCAGAACUGACUGAUGAAAGGAACAGAAUUUUUU